rnacentral:misc_RNA from 1 species
UGUAGUCUUUCUAUUCCAAUCUCAAAGUCAAAUCGUUGUGCCGAUCGUUAAUCGGAUACGAAGGUAUGCUGCAUCGUGAUCAAGUUGAAAACUGAAGAGUAUGGAUAUGGGGAGCAUCGGCAGAAGAGCGGUAGUACAACACUACACCACUAAUACCGACUGAAAUCGCCCAGGGCAACGUUCUCUGUCUCUCUAAUUGGAUUGCAUUCCACGCGGGAGCAAGUAAUGGACCAAUUACAGUAGCUGAUGGCAGGCCUACCUGCGUUGCUCCCGAGUAUCAUUACUUCCAAAUAUUAGAACGCUAUCUCGACACGCUCAAAGCAGUGCCGCUACUGGCGUCGGCAAAGUGGUCAGCGGUAGCCAAGACCGCAGUCAACGGAGAUGAAGCCACUGAGAUCUGUCGAAAUUCUACAGGGCGGAUCAAAAUUUAUCAUCCAUUUAUAAUACCCGUACGGAGGUCCUCGUAUAAUACGGGUACCUCCGUAAACCUAUGUCGGUAUGAGUAAAAUUCAUUUCUCAUAAACUUUUGGAACUUACAAUCAUG